rnacentral:rRNA from 1 species
GACGAACGCUGGCGGCGUGCCUAAUACAUGCAAGUAGAACGCUGAAGGAGGAGCUUGCUUCUCUGGAUGAGUUGCGAACGGGUGAGUAACGCGUAGGUAACCUGCCUGGUAGCGGGGGAUAACUAUUGGAAACGAUAGCUAAUACCGCAUAAUAUUGACUAUUGCAUGAUAGUCAGUUGAAAGGUGCAACUGCACCACUACCAGAUGGACCUGCGUUGUAUUAGCUAGUUGGUGGGGUAACGGCUCACCAAGGCGACGAUACAUAGCCGACCUGAGAGGGUGAUCGGCCACACUGGUACUGAGACACGGCCCAGACUCCUACGGGAGGCAGCAGUAGGGAAUCUUCGGCAAUGGACGGAAGUCUGACCGAGCAACGCCGCGUGAGUGAAGAAGGUUUUCGGAUCGUAAAGCUCUGUUGUAAGAGAAGAACGAGUGUGAGAGUGGAAAGCUCACACUGUGACGGUAGCUUACCAGAAAGGGACGGCUAACUACGUG